rnacentral:rRNA from 1 species
UACGUAGGGUGCGAGCGUUAAUCGGAAUUACUGGGCGUAAAGUGUGCGCAGGCGGCCGCGCAAGUCGAGUGUGAAAGCCCCGAGCUUAGCUUGGGAAUUGCGCUCGAAACUACGUGGCUGGAGUGUGGCAGAGGAAGGUGGAAUUCCACGUGUAGCGGUGAAAUGCGUAGAGAUGUGGGGGAACACCAAUGGCGAAGGCAGCCUUCUGGGCCAACACUGACGCUCAUGCACGAAAGCGUGGGGAGCAAACAGG